UGAAAAGCUGAGGGCGGCUGUUGAUAGCUAGAUCCGCUGGUGUGUGGCAAGCACUGACGGGGCGCAUGGUUGAUGGUUCGGUAGUGCUACUCGUAGCGUGCAUGCAUGGUUCUGUGGGCGCUAUACGCCGCGCGUACGUACGUUUGGAGAACUCGAUUUGUUUGUUGUGUUUGUCGCUUAAUUACGUCGUUAGGUCAAUCUCUAUCGGUCGUUCGUGUUAAGUUCUUUGUAUCUGUAGUAGUGGAGCAUGUUCUUGAGGCAUAUGAAUAAUGCUAGAUGUACGUGUCAGCUUGUGCCGUGGUAUGCAAUGAUGAAAUGAAAUGGAGUAUUAUUGUACUAGUAAUCUUUUGUUGGUUUACUUGUUAAUUACGAGCUUGACUACCAUUUGGUUGGAACAGCAAACUCGCAUUGUGUUUUGGUCGGAGUAUAUUGCUAAGCUCAGUAGUGUCGAUUGGCUGAAUGAAACUUGACGAUCUAGACAAGUUUUUCUUAAGUCCUCAUCACCAUUGGAGAUUUCCUAGCUGAAGUGCAUCAACAGAUAUCUUGAACGGUACUGGAGUAAAAAAAAUUGAAGGGAAAAAGAAAGAGAUGUCUUUAGAUGACACGAGUUGGAAGCCCAAUUAACACGGCCCAGUUAAUUAGCUACUCCCUCCGUUCGCAUCUAAAAAUUACCCCCUCUGUCUCAUAAUAUAUGCAAAAUUAUCUUAUAUUAUGAGAUGAAGGAAGUAAUACUGUACUAGUAUAAAUUAAGACCAAGACAGAGGGUGAAUAAAACACCACUGCUCGGCAAUAGUGAGAAGGAAAAAUAAAUUAUUAUCAAAACUGAAAAGAAAGAGCGCUAGCUAGCUUUGAAGUUACCACAUGGCAUUGCAGGUUGCAGCACGUACAGGCAGUACUGCUGUCGAUGUAAAUCAGCUGCAGGCUGUAGGGGUAGGGGUGGGAGUAACUAUUCUCGCAUUUAUGUACAUUACCUCAUUCUACGUAUAAGGAGUAGUAGUCAUGCCUCUGUAUCCAAACCGCUAUACAUACAACACUUGGGCCCAGUUCUUUUGUCAGAAUCUGGGAAUUCUCCCAGAAUCCGACUCUUACCAAGCUUCUCUCAGAAUUUUGAGCCCAGUUUGUUUUACAAUCCUAUCUAAUUAGACCCUAACUAGAUAGGAUUGUAAAACAAAUGUGGCUCAAAGAUUUUGGGGAAGCUGGAUAGGGGUCGGGUUCUGAGAGAAUCCUCUGAUUCUGGCAAAAUAACUGGGCAUUGUUAUUCUACCUUCGUACGACAAGAAAUCCAACGGCUUACUGCAUUUUGCCUCUAUAGGUGUGGAUUUUCCUUUCCAACAAAAACAAAGUAUGUAAAAAGACGACAUAUACCAACUGAGCUGCCCCGCGUCGUCCACGUGGGCGACACAAGCGGCCUGCAGAUCCAUUUUUUCGGCGAGCUUCUGCCUAAGCGUCCUCUCAUCGUUGCUGCCGUCGCCGCCGGGUUUGCCUGUGUGGCCGAUGGCUGUUCGUGUUGCUAUUCGACGAGGUGUGGCGAUGUAUAGGUAAUGGCUUUGAUGCAGUACAGGUGGUCAUGAUGUAGCAGCAAACAGUUCGUUCUAGGGCACGGGCGGCUGCGCGCCUUCCUAAUCUUUCACACCGUCGGGUUGCAGCAAGCGCCCAUGUGGCGGUGGAAAGGAAAGGGAGCAACACCGCCAUGUCCUUCAACUUGGAGAGCCGGUGUGCUCUAGAGGAAGUCGUCACCUGCGCCGCCGGCUGGCAUGUGUGGUGACCAUGUAGCAGAUGUUGCCACCGUCGCAAGCGAUCUGGCCUGCGCGCACCAUGCUUGGUUGGUUGGCGCUAUCUUUGUGGCCGUGUCAUCGACUCGACGGUAGGCGCCGGAAGGUCGGAGGGGCUUCGACCUUCGGAUCCGGUGAGGUUCGCGUUGAACAUGGGAGAACUGGUAGAAGAUCAAGACAAAGACUUUCAGAGGGUAGCCUACAAGGCAAGGUUCAUCACAACCUACUCAACUAAGACAAAGCCCAAAAUUGCUUGUGGUUGCACAUGGAAGCAACUAUUCAUGAAACCGGUUGGUCUUUUUAAGCCUUAACGGCUGUCCACUAGUGUGCAAUGCCAUAGGUGAAUCUUUUAAGAAAUCACAUUCUCCAUGAUGCUAAUUGUACCUCACCACUUUAUAAUUACUAUUCCAUCCACGUACCACGAAUUUAGUUGGUCUUCCUUACUACAUUAUCAUUCAUAAAUUCCCACGAAUUACACUUCACCGAAGUAUCCGCCUACUUCAGCAAAUUAAGCAAACUACAACGACGACAGACAAGUAAUUAGAACUCGGACCUACUUAUUGAACUACAGUGGGAUCAUACUUGCAUAUUUAGGAUAUAUAAAGAUGCUCAUACGUACUACUCAAAAAUAUACUAAAUGCUUAGAAAAGAUGUAGGUAAAUGGACAUGCACGAAAGAAUGUGACUUGCCUUGGUGCCGGUGAUGAUACUCUAAUUCAUUAAGUAAGCGGCUUCGCACUCCAAACAAUCUAUCAUAGAAUGAAACAAAUUUGUAAACAAUUAUAAUUAAGCAUGCAAAUAAAAUUACUUGCAAAGAUAGCAAACAAAACUCAACAAAACAUAUUAUUCCCUUUGAUCCAAAUUAAUCGACGCAACCUCUAUACAAUGUAAGUAAGAUAUUGUAUAGAGGUUACGUCAAUUAAUUUGGAUCGGAGGGACUAGUAUAUAUAGCCUUAGCUAAUAUAGGGUAUGUGCAGAAGUGCAGCUAUAAAAGCGAAAGGCAUAAAAGAUACAUCAUAUACAUGACAUAGGAAUGAUUUUGAUGUGUACUAUUAACGGCUUAGUAGAUAGGAUUUGAUCAGGCUUCCAUCAUGCAAACAGACACAACUAAAUUGGAUCUCCAGAUUGCAAGAUAUGGCUAAAAUAAUAUAUAAAUUUGAAUUUGCAUUGAUCACAUUUGAAUAAUUAAAAAUGUUAAACUAAUAGGUCAUAAGCACUCCAAGACUACCAAUUUGCAAAAUGUUCGUCUUCUUUGGAGCUACAGUUGAAAAGUUAGAAUGCUAGAAGUUUCGUGGGAUUUUCUGCAAAAUAGUGUGACACGUGGCAGCAUCAGACUAGUUGAUACCGAUUCAUGGCUAAAUAAGAUAGUCGUCCUAUUUAAAUGAAAAUGGACAGACCAGAUCAAAAGAUACCGAUUCACGCUCAAACAGAAUAACAACCGUUGGAUUUAAGUGCACAUCUAGGGCCAAGUUCAAACAACAAUUUGGCAGAAAUAAAUUCUAAUUUGCACAAUCUAUUUCUAAACAGACGAAUGAGAAUGAGAUGGGGCGGUAGUGGACAGUGGCGGCCAUGGAGAAGACAAGUGGCACGACGACUCGGGUCAAAUGUGGCAUGGUCUCCGACGGUUGUCAGGGUUAAAGUUGUCGCAGUCAUCACGGCGGUGUGGUUGGUGAUCUGGACGGGUGUGGAGUGCUCGGCGGUGCUCUGGUGUGGUUGGGUGUGCACUAUUUAGACGAUGUGGUGUUCCAUGGACAAAAACAGUAUGCCAAAACGACGCGGAGCAGCAAGGCAAGAAAAGAGAGAAAGAGAUGAUCAUAAAACUAACGACCCUCGAUGCCCAUACUGUUUUGAGAAAGGAAUUAGGCCCGGGGCCUAAAAUGGUCGCGAUCUGUUUGGUGUGUUACUGGGCUGAAACACUGUUCCGGUCUAGUUAGGAUAGGAUUUCAUAAUAAAAUUAGUCUAGAAAUUGAUUUUGGCUCAAAUAAUAGUCUAAUAUAUAUAUUUUCAGAAAAUACCAGAAAUUUGCAAAAAAUAAUACUCAUAUAGAGCCUAGAAAAAUUAUUCCCAACUCAAAGUGCAAUUUUGUAAAUUCAUUUUAUUUUAUACAGCUAGUUUGGACCAAAUAAUAAUUCUAUUUGUAGGGUUUAUUUAAUUCCCAUGACUGGAUUUAUCCACUCCAAAUGACAUCUUAACAUUUUCUCACUCUUUUCAUAAGGAAAAUAAGUGAUAUUAUCUUCUCUCUUUUAGUUCCUUGAGUGGAAAAAAAAUAAGGCAGCCCGGUGCAUGUAGCUCCCGCUUGCGCAAGGUCUGGGGAAGGUCCGGCCACUUUGGGUCUAUUGUACGCAGCCUUUCCCUAUAUUUCUGCAAGAAACUGUUUCCAUGAGUCGAACCCGUGACCUCUUGGUCACAAGGCAACGCACCAAGGCUCCCCUUGGUUGAAGAUAGUUUAAAUUUAAAUGUCCUAGAAAGUCCAAAUAUGCAUUUAAAUAAUAAGAUGUAAAUUAAUGCUUUUAUAAACGUCCUAAUAAUUAAUAAAAGUGGGAUGUUACAUCUUGUGUGGUCUUUGUGGUUGUUGCUAGAAACCCAUGGUGCUUUGAUGCCAUGGAUCGAUUCAUCAUCCACCGGAAUAAUGAUGAUGGGACGAUGUCAUUUUAGUGAUCGAAUCAUCGUUGAAAGUAAAUGAUGAGAUGGUCAUGUUUGGAGAUGCAGUUCGCCAAAGUGAAAGAAAACUUACUUCGUAUGCCCUUGUUCAGGUAUUGAAUACUUGCAGUGCAACACUUAUUGCUUCUACAAAACUCAUAGUUAGGUCUUUUGCCAUCCAUAUCCAUUUCAAGUGUCACACUGAUUUAAAUGAUCUUAUAUUUCUUUACAGAGAGAGUACCUUUUAGGAAGUGAUCUAAAUGGUCGUAUNNNNNNNNNNNNNNNNNNNNNNNNNNNNNNNNNNNNNNNNNNNNNNNNNNNNNNNNNNNNNNNNNNNNNNNNNNNNNNNNNNNNNNNNNNNNNNNNNNNNNNNNNNNNNNNNNNNNNNNNNNNNNNNNNNNNNNNNNNNNNNNNNNNNNNNNNNNNNNNNNNNNNNNNNNNNNNNNNNNUCUACAUUUUCAAUUCAUUUCCCUAUGAUUUAUACACAUUACUUUAUAUUUGGAGCUUAUAAAUUCUCAAUUUAAGAAAAUAAGUCUCAAAUGUGAAUCACUAAAAGAAAA
rnacentral:lncRNA from 1 species